rnacentral:rRNA from 1 species
GAUGAACGCUGGCGGCGUGCUUAAUACAUGCAAGUCGAACGGAAAGGCCCUGCUUUUGCGGGGUGCUCGUUUGCGGACCGGGUGUGAAACACGUGUGUAACCCCCCCUUGUAUUUGGGGUAACUCUAGGAAACUGGGGCUAUAACCGCUUAGGAGCUCUUGAUCCUCGUUGGGGAUUGGAAAGUUUCGGCGGUUGGGGCUGGACUCGCGGCUUACCAGCUUGUUGGUGGGGUAGUGGCUUACAAAGCUUUUGACGGGUAGCCAGCCUGAGAGGGUGACCGGCCACAUUGGGACUGAGAUACGGCCCAGACGCCUACGGGAGGCAGCAGUGGGGAAUAUUGCACAAUGGGCGGAAGCCUGAGGCAGCAACGCCGCGUGCGGGAUGACGGCCUUCGGGUUGUAAACCGCUUUCGCCUGUAACGAAGCGUGAGUGACGGUAAUGGGUAAAGAAGCACCGGCUAACUACGUG